rnacentral:rRNA from 1 species
CACGUAGGGAGCAAGCGUUGUCCGGAAUCAUUGGGCGUAAAGCGCGCGUAGGUGGCUUCGUAAGUCCGUUGUGAAAGUCAAAGGCUCAACCUUUGAAAGCCGAUGGAUACUGCGGAGCUAGAGUACGGAAGAGGCGAGUGGAAUUCCUGGUGUAGCGGUGAAAUGCGCAGAUAUCAGGAGGAACACCAAUUGCGAAGGCAGCUCGCUGGGACGUUACUGACGCUGAGACGCGAAAGCGUGGGGAGCAAACAGG